GACGAACGCUGGCGGCGUGCUUAACACAUGCAAGUCGAACGGAAAGGCCCUGCUUUUGUGGGGUGCUCGAGUGGCGAACGGGUGAGUAACACGUGAGUAACCUGCCCUUGACUUUGGGAUAACUUCAGGAAACUGGGGCUAAUACCGGAUAGGAGCUCCUGCUGCAUGGUGUGGGUUGGAAAGUUUCGGCGGCUGGGGUUGGACUCGCGGCUUCUCAGCUUGUUGGUGGGGUAGUGGCUUACCAAGGCUUUGACGGGUAGCCGGCCUGAGAGGGUGACCGGCCACAUUGGGACUGAGAUACGGCCAAGACUCCUACGGGAGGCAGCAGUGGGGAAUAUUGCACAAUGGGCGGAAGCCUGAUGCAGCAACGCCGCGUGCGGGAUGACGGCCUUCGGGUUGUAAACCGCUUUCGCCUGUGACGAAGCGUGAGUGACGGUAAUGGGUAAAGAAGCACCGGCUAACUACGUG
rnacentral:rRNA from 1 species